GUUAGAAUGCAGAGGACGACCUCGGCGAGGAGGUCAUGGUUGUCACCAUGUUCAUUAUGAACUCUGAGAACAUAUCCAGUUGCCAUCAAGCGCACUGUCCUUGCUUCCCUCCACAUGUUUGUGUACCCAUUUCUCAAUUCCUAAGUUAUUUCUCCUAGUUGGGAAUUAUAUAAGUGACAACCUGGUUGUGCAUGAUGUGUAGCCAUGCAAGUUUAUAUGCAAUAAAUGUUCAAACCAGUGAGAAUUUUGAACCGCCCAUAAAAAAUUAAAGGAAAUGAAAAAUCAGAGUUCAAAGCUUUCCACACGUAUAACGGUAUAAGUUAAAUCAGACCACAUAACUUCAUAGAGAUCGACAUACAUCUUUUAACAGCGAGUUAAGAAUUAUGACCAUACCAACCUUCCACAAUCAUAAUGCCAUUACAAGAUCACAGGCCUUUGAAGUUUAAAAUCAAGGAGUAACACACGACACAAAGUUGUCCAUCCAGAAUAUUCAAUGUAAAAUAGUUUCACAAUCAUGUUUCAUAUAUAGUUAUUAAAAUCAGUUGAUUCUUUUUAACAAUAUCUAUUCACAUCAAAAUAAUUUGAAGUACA
rnacentral:lncRNA from 1 species